AACGAAAGCUGGCGGCGGUGCUUAACACAUGCAAGUCGAACGCGAAAGGGACUUCGGUCCCGAGUAGAGUGGCGCACGGGUGAGUAACGCGUAAGUAAUCUACCCCUGUAUCUGGAAUAACCCACCGAAAGGUGAGCUAAUACCGGAUACGUUUAUCUUGAUGCGAAUGAUGAUAAAGAAAGGUGGCCUCUUCAUGAAAGCUACCGUACAGGGACGAGCUUGCGUACCAUUAGCUGGUUGGUAGGGUAAUGGCCUACCAAGGCGACGAUGGUUAGCGGGUCUGAGAGGAUGAUCCGCCACACUGGAACUGAAACACGGACCAGACUCCUACGGGAGGCAGCAGUGAGGAAUAUUGCGCAAUGGGGGCAACCCUGACGCAGCGACGCCGCGUGGACGAUGAAGGCCCUUGGGUCGUAAAAUCCUGUCAGAUGGAAAGAAAUGUACAGGUGUUAAUAUCGCCUGUAUUUGACGGUACCAUCAAGGAAACACCGGCUAUCCGUGCC
rnacentral:rRNA from 1 species